rnacentral:lncRNA from 1 species
ACCAACAUGCCUUUGAUACCACAAUGUAGGAUAACUACGCACAGUGGAAUAUUUUAUAAAGUAAAUAAAUUUGAUUAAUCUCCGGCUAUUAUUGAUUAAGUACCCUUGAGAUUAAGCACACGAGAGGGAAGAAGAGAAGAGACCUGCGGAGAGAGAAGAUCCGGAGCUUCUUUCAUUCAUCACAGAAACUACCAGAUAAGAUAAACUCCAAAUAACCUCUAAUCAAAUUGAAUUAAGUUACCAUUUAAAUGAGGUUUAAUUUGAUGUGGGAUAAGCUUGAUCAAGUGGGCCAUAUCAAGUUUUCUAACACAUGCUAACAUAUUCUUCUGCAAUUAGUUUUCAUUCAUCACAGAAACUACUAGAUAAGAUAAACUCCAAAUAACCUCUAAUCAAAUUGGAUUAAGUUACCAUUUAAAUGAGGUUUAAUUUGAUGUGGGAUAAGCUUGAUCAAGUGGGCCAUAUCAAGUCUUCUAACACAUGCUAAUAUAUUUUUCUCCGCCUAUUUUUACUCUGUUCUUGACUUCAUGUUAUUGCUGAAGGAUAACCAGAAGAUUGACUUGGGUCAUCUAUUUUGAAGUCACAUCUCAACGCAUGCAACCCACCGAGUCACUAUAUUAUUACUUAUAUUCCUUCCUCAAGAAAACUCUUGUCUUGUUGAGGAUUUUUUUUGUCGAUAAUUUUUAAAACAGCAUCA